GGAUGUGAGGGCGAUCUGGCUGCGACAUCUGCCACCCCAUUGAUCGCCAGGGUUGAUUCGGCUGAUCUGGCUGGCUAGGCGGGUGUCCCCUUCCUCCCUCACUACUCCUUCCCGAAGCUGCGUGCUCAGUGGAAGAAGACGAUGUCCCAGGUAUAGAAGGAGUGUACCAAAGUCUCCAGUCAUCAGUCCUGGGUAUACGAUAGCUGUGUUCCACUGGUAGAACCUCCUAACAAGCUUCUGAUUUAUGUCCCUGAGUUCCCUCACAGCUGCUAGGGUAGUUCCCCAUUACUCAGCUUCAUUUCUGGCAGCUAUUCUAG
rnacentral:snRNA from 1 species